GAUGAAGAACGUAGCGAAAUGCGAUACGUAGUGUGAAUUGCAGAAUUCAGUGAAUCAUCGAAUCUUUGAACGCACAUUGCACUCUCUGGUAUUCCGGAGAGUAUGCUUGUUUGAGUAUCUGUAAACAUCUCAAAUCUCUCUUCGCUUGCGUCGAGAGAAUUGGAUUUGAGCGAUCCCGACUCCUUCGUCAGAAAGAGGAGGGUCGCUUGAAAUGCAGGUGCAGCUGGACAUUCUUCUGAGCUAAAAGCAUAUCUAUUUAGUCCCGUCAAACGGAUUAUUACUUUUGCUUCAGCUAAUAUAAAGGUCGAAUGAACUACCAACGCUGAUUGCAGGAAAACUCGUUUGUAACAGAACUUGUAAACUCGAUCUCAAAUCAAGUAAGACUACCCGCUGAACUUAAGCAUAUCAAUAAGCGGAGGA
rnacentral:misc_RNA from 1 species